rnacentral:rRNA from 1 species
AUACGUAGGGGGCGAGCGUUGUCCGGAAUUACUGGGCGUAAAGGGCGUGUAGGCGGGGGAGCAAGUCAGAUGUGAAAUUCCACGGCUUAACUGUGGCGCUGCAUCUGAAACUGUUUCUCUUGAGUGCUGGAGAGGAAAGUGGAAUUCCCAGUGUAGCGGUGAAAUGCGUAGAGAUUGGGAGGAACACCAGUGGCGAAGGCGGCUUUCUGGACAGUAACUGACGCUGAGGCGCGAAAGCGUGGGGAGCAAACAGGAUUAGAUACCCUGGUAGUCCACGCCGUAAACGAUGGAUACUAGGUGUAGGAGGUAUCGACCCCUUCUGUGCCGGAGUUAACACAAUAAGUAUCCCGCCUGGGGAGUACGGCCGCAAGGCUGAA